rnacentral:rRNA from 1 species
AUUGAACGCUGGCGGCAGGCUUAACACAUGCAAGUCGAGCGGGGGAAGGUAGCUUGCUACUGGACCUAGCGGCGGACGGGUGAGUAAUGCUUAGGAAUCUGCCUAUUAGUGGGGGACAACAUCUCGAAAGGGAUGCUAAUACCGCAUACGUCCUACGGGAGAAAGCAGGGGAUCUUCGGACCUUGCGCUAAUAGAUGAGCCUAAGUCGGAUUAGCUAGUUGGUGGGGUAAAGGCCUACCAAGGCGACGAUCUGUAGCGGGUCUGAGAGGAUGAUCCGCCACACUGGGACUGGAACACGGCCCAGACUCCUACGGGAGGCAGCAGUGGGGAAUAUUGGACAAUGGGGGGAACCCUGAUCCAGCCAUGCCGCGUGUGUGAAGAAGGCCUUAUGGUUGUAAAGCACUUUAAGCGAGGAGGAGGCUACUCUAGUUAAUACCUAGGGAUAGUGGACGUUACUCGCAGAAUGAGCACCGGCUAACUCUGUGCCAGCCGCCGCGGUAA